UGGAAACUUGACAAUAGGUCGUGCUUGGUUUUUGUUGAAGAACCUUACUGUGAAUGACACUAAUGAAUACAUUGCAAGCAUCAGUGACGAUGUAUCAAGAGUUCGACUAUAUUAUGUGCGCCUAAUGGUUGCAGAGAAGGAGAAAGUAACAACAACAGAAGGACCUUUUCUAACCCCAGUCACUACAGCUGCUGCUCCGAAUAUUACAAGUAAGGCUUUGAUAGCUUCAGCAUAAACAAAAAAAA